rnacentral:rRNA from 1 species
GACGAACGCUGGCGGCGUGCUUAACACAUGCAAGUCGAGCGGUAAGGCCCUUUCGGGGGUACACGAGCGGCGAACGGGUGAGUAACACGUGGGUGACCUGCCCUCAGCUCUGGGAUAAGCCUGGGAAACCGGGUCUAAUACCGGAUAUGACUCCAUGACGCAUGUUGUGGGGGUGGAAAGCCUUGUGCGGCUGAGGAUGGGCCCGCGGCCUAUCAGCUUGUUGGGUGGGGUGAUGGCCUACCAAGGCGACGACGGGUAGCCGGCCUGA